rnacentral:tRNA from 1 species
AAGAAAGAAGCAUAGGUGGUUAGAUGCGGCUGGCUUGAAACCAGCGUACGAGGGUUCGAUUCCUUCCUUUCUUG